AAGCAAGUAGGUGGACCUGGGCUGGGGUCAAUGUCGGCCAGCAGUUCCAAAUGGGGUCUGAGGCAGUUGAGAUUGGCUGGAUCUCCAGUUCUCUGCAGGGCAAUGAUCAAUCAACAUGAACACACUGGCGUGCAGUUACCAAGCUGGUGCAAACCUUCAAACAUCUGUAAAAUCGUUCGCGUACACGCAUCUUCCAAGACCAUAUCAGGAAAAACCCUGUUCUCACAAAAGCUGAGGAUUUAACUGUGGAUUUAAUGCUUUAAAAUGUACAACAAGAAAACAAACUGGUAUGGCAGCCAUCUUUCUUCACUGAGAGUCUCUGUCCUCUACAGACUCAACAGUCCAGCUGAAAUAUAUCAAUCAAUUGCACAAUUGACACUCAAUUGGAUUGGAAGUAUGCUUCAAAAAAAUGUUUUAAUGGACUUCUUCUAUCCCACCGUCUCCCCGUGCCUCCCCUGCAGUGCUCUCGCGCCACACAACUUCAAGCGACUCAUAGAAGCGGCACUGACCACACAGUGAAAUGCCAGUUUCGGAGUUUCUACUUAUUUACAUGACCUGCUUCCUUAUUAUUUGAACUUUAAUAAAGGAUGCAUUAAAGAUGUAA